CCACCAACAAGCAUUACAGUGGUAGUGUUUGUAUGUACUUGUUGACUGAAGUUCUCCAGAGGGUAACAGUGUUUUAAUAGGAACAAUGUUAUUGUUAAAGAAGCAAAUUAAAAAGUUAAUUGAAUCUGAUUUUAUUUACGUGUGUAUCUCCUUACAAACUAGAGGCCCACCUUUGAAGACGCUUUGAAGAAGAACUUCAAAGAAGUUUGUCUGUACUUUGUAUUGAGAUAUGCAUGCAAAUGAUAUCAGAUUCUCCUUUUUGAAACCCCUGCUCAGGUAACAUGAGAUGGCAAGUUGGUUCUAAACACUUCCAAGAAAGUGAUGAAAGCAUCCGGUUCUUUCGCUUCUAUAAUUAAUCUCAGAUGUAUUUCACAGGGUGGCACCUUGUACUCAAGGAAGCAUGACAUUGCUGUACCAUCACCUUCCCAAAAAGCCUGGAAUGUACCUUUUCCCAGGAAGGAAAGGACUUCUUUCUGGUUUAUCACCAGCAGCAUAACGAGGCCUCAUUUAGAAACUUCGAUUCAACUGAAGAAAAAUCCAGUCAUUUUUUGAAGUGAGAAGAUUUGUGAAGAUUAUGCCUGCAAAGAACCGUGAAGGCAAGCAGGAACUCAGGUAGCCUUCCUUUAUUGAAUGGGUUAAGAGCAUGAAAUAUAGCUUUCAUUGUUACAGUUGUAGAGUUAUAGUAUAGAAAUCUAUUCUAGAAAUAUAUAUAUAACUCAGAUUUUUGUCUUAAUAUCCAAAUAGGACGGUGAGUUAUUUGCUCUCUGUGAUAUUGCCUGGUCAGAUUUGUACUUGGCCUCAAGUCAGUUCUUUGUGUUGCUGGGGGAGUUUAAUCCCCUGCCCCCUCUAGCACUUGGUGGCUCAGUAUAAAUACAACUGCUACAAAGUUUUAAAAGCAUCAAGUGAUAUUUUUUUCCAGGCUGGAAGAUACAUUGCUGAGAAGUUCCACUGAUUACAUUUCUGCUCUCCCAAACAGACAUCCAAAAGCACGUUUGUCAUUUCAGCCUCUGUUUUGUUAGACAUAUACAAAUACAGAACUAAUACCAAACAAAAAUCCUUUCCCUAAAGAGAAUAAAUGUACACAGAAGUGUUUGUAUAGAAAUCUA
rnacentral:lncRNA from 1 species